UGCAAAAGAAUGUCUGGCUUGCAAAACGUACAUUAUUUUUUGGAUUUUCAAUGAAAUAGCACUAUUCAAAUAACAUACUUUAUAAAAUAUAAUGUUGUUAAUGUUUUGGUGCAGAACAUGCAUCGUUUCCGAGGAUUCUGAUAAAAAGUGAUUUUGGAGGUCUCCGAUAAAAAGUGGUCUUCAUAGAACUUUACUCUCUAUAUCACAAACCUCCUUAAAAUACAAUAUAAAAACUAAAAAAAAUCUUAAAAUUAUAUUUAAAUAUAGCAAAAAUUGUAUUUAAAUCGUUAGGAGAUGUAGAAUAAUUAUAGUGAAGUCAGAUUGACAUGAAAAUUCAAAUUAAAAAUGGAGGGGAUUAUGUGGGAUCAUGUGUGGGAGGAUGAAUUUUAAUUGUGUGUGGUGACUUCUAGAAGGCUUGUAGUUUGUACAGUAAUUUGGUUAACUACACAACUAAAAACCUUCUUAAAAUAAAAACUAAAAUAAAAAAAAUUCUGAAUCACAUCGAAAUAGCACAUAUGAUAUGCAACUGAAAGUUGGGAGAUGAAUAAAAAUACCAUUAAGUCAGAUUUCUAAAAAACUCACCGUUGACGAGAAAAAUCAAAAUAGAAACGGAUGAGAUUAUGUGGGUUAUGUGUGGGAGAGCGUAUUUUAAUUGUGUGGAGCGUAUUUUAAUUGUGUGGUGACUUCUAGGGGCCAUUAGAUUAGAUUCGUCCAAGGGCUUGGAUUAAAUUUAUUUAAAGGCUUAGAAUAAGUUUGUACAAUAAUUUGGUUUGUAUUUGAGCAAUUGCUUAUAUAUAUAUAUUUGGUUUUUAAUGUUCUUGGUCACCAAGAGGACUGAAAUUCAGAAAGAAAAAAAAAACGAACUGGGCCUGAAUUGUGAAAGCCCUGAACCAGGACCGAAAUUUGGGUUCGCUUCUCGGUGAAUUGGGAAAUUCUAAUAUGGUCAAUUGAUGGAAUGAUUAUUCUUCUGUUUCCGAACAGGAUUUUUUUAUCGAUACAACCCUUCUGUUUCAACAACUCCCCAAGUUGUGAUCCCCCCGCCCCGCCCCUCCCCUCCCCUCCAAAAGGUGAUUUUAGUAAUUACCAAGUAUAAGUUAUUGUCCAGCAGUAUCUCGACCCAAUAUUAGGCAUCUUGCCCGGUGGAAAAGCUACAUCUAGUUCCGAACCAGCGAUUUGGUUGAUAUCCAGUGUUGUUUUUCAAGCGUGGAAGUCACCUAAUUAGAAGUUGUCAAAAUUUUAUAGCGAUCAGAGCUAACCACAAGGUAUUCUUUUCUCUCAGAUUUGCAAUUACAUAUGAAUUUGUUUAAAUUGUAAUGAUCCUCUCAUUUUUAGGAAGUAAGGGUAAAAUUGAAAUUACAUUUUCGAAUUUAGUGGUUUCAACGAGACCCUGCUGUCUACUAGCCAUCAAUUCUUCUGGGCAUAUCCCCUUGUACUCAAAUCUUGUGAGUGAUCCACAUUUUAUACGGGUAUACUUUGUUUAAGAUACAAUUUAACUGCAAAUUUUACUUAUGUAUCAAGUUCGGAGUUCGGUGCAUUUAAUAGUUUUAAUUUAGUGUCUACUAUCUACCUUAUGUGAUUCUGAUAUGUAUGUAUGAUACUUGCACAAAAUUUUCUUCAAAUUUGGUAUUCUAUCUUGAUGAGCUUUUGCCUAUGCAAGUUACAAGUAUCAUUGUUUUACGCAAAUUAAGCUAUUAAUACUUUCUAAUCGAUAGCUUCAGGAUCACAAAUCUCUUAGAUUUUAGUACCUUCAAAAGGAAACUUUUUCUCUGGGGUUAAGCAUCAAUCUCAUGAUUAAUUACGUCCAAAUAUAUGAGAUUGGUCACCAUUUGCAAACAUUACCUAAUAUAAUCCUUAACUUCUUUUAUUUGUACAAGUCGUUUAAGUCGACUGGAAUUAAAAUUUUGAAGGAUUGAACAAAUCUACAAGUUUCAAGCUCGACCUCUCAAAUCCGUAUCUUACAGAUCUAGAGGAAAAAGUCUAUGUUUCUCCACCACAUCUUAUCUCAUUUUCAAGCAGUUCAACACAUGCCUCUGAUUUACAUAUCCAUAUGUUAGGGUUUACAUCUGAUAAGUGCAGUUUAAUUCAGUUAUUUGUGGUUGUAGUUGUUUAGGUUUCUAGUGCCUAUGUUAUUUAUAUAUAUUCUAGAAAUUGUUGUAGGUGUAUUACUUUUUGCAGUUGAAAGGAUGGAGAUGACGAAGUGUGUGUGUGUGUGUGUGUUUUAUUAUUUUUUUCUUUUUGCAAUCGAAGCCAUGUAAUUGCUACGUCAUUAUGUGACUUUUAAAUCACUGCCGUGUCAGUCGCCUGACAUGUUGGUUUGGGCAUUGAAAAUUCAACUGACUCUUGACCGGUUUGUGCAAAUUAAAGAAGUCGGUGACUGGACUGAGUCAUAUUUGUGAAAAGUGAUGAAAUUGGUAGAAUCGUAUGAAAUGAAUACCAGAUAACUCAGGGUAUUAUUAUGGGUAGGGGGUGUGAUUAUUGAUUGCCAUGACCAUUAUUCAUGAGGGAGGAGAUAUGAGUCUUGCCACUAGGCAAUCAACAAAACCUUGAAUAUGCAAUUUUUUUAGUCCAACUAAUUUCAAAAACCCAGUCAUGUUAUAUGCUGAUAUCAUUACUCUCUCAACCUUCAGUGCGGUGAUUGUUGCUUGAAAUUCACUUGGUUUCUUUAAUUGACUUGUACUCUGCUAUGUUAUGUUCUGUAAUAAUUUAUAAUUUUACUUAAAGAUACAGCUUCAACUGCAGAACUAAUUAUGACAUUAUAGUAUUAGCAACAAGCCUUUUGUUUGAUUGGCAGUUAUUUGGGGUAAGUGCAUGAUUAGGUUGCCAUGUCUUGUUACAGGUUAUUAGGGUACUUAAGAUGGAUCCUGAAAUAAAUCUGCAAGAUCUUCACCCAAAAAAGAGAUGGAGGAGUGAGUUGUAUGCUCAAUUUGUUCUUGCCUGGCAGAACAAUAAUCAGUUACCUGCUGAAGGCACUCCAGAAAAAAAUGUUAAUAGCUUGGAUGACAAUCAUCAGCUGGCUGUUUAUACUCCUGCUGACGCUUCUGCUUCUGAUGGAACUGUUACUCAACCUCCACAGAACCAGGCCGGUCGGAUUGCGCCAUCUGUGGAAGCUUACACUGUCCAGUGUUCACUCUGUUAUAAGUGGAGGCUUAUUCCUUCGAAGGAGAAAUUCGAGGAAAUCCGUGAACACUUAAUAGAGCAGCCUUUUGUAUGCAGAGCACUUUAUCAGUGGCGUCCUCAGAUAUCUUGCACUGUUAAAACUGAUCUUCAACCAGAUGGUAGCAAGUUAUGGGCAAUUGAAACGCCCAACAUUCCUCGACCCCCUCCUAGGUGGAAGCGCAUUUUGAAGAUCAGGGCUUCCCAAGGAACCAGAUUUGCAGAUGUGUACGUAUUACUCUACAUUUUUUUUUUAAAUAUGGUUUAGUCUUAAUAUCUGCUGCUUCGUUUCAGUUUAAAAGUUGAGCUUUUCUUUACUUUCAGGUAUUAUUAUACACCAUCGAACAAGAGACUGCGGUCCACAACUGAAGUUCAAAGGUACUCUUGUCUCUUAGGUUUGUUUUCAGUUGAGCAGAGCGUUCAAAAACUUGCAAAUCUUUAUGUUUGGUUUAAAUGAUAAUAUUGAUGAAGUGGUCCAAAAAUUAUAGAGUAAAGUGACAUAAGGUCCUUCUACCAUAAAACAUGGCCGGCGCACCAACUUGACCUCUUCUCUGUAGUGUUUUCGAUAUUUUUCAAACAUUAUUUAGAUUCUGUUUGUAUUUGGGCAUAUUUUUAAGAAUGUAAAUGUUUGCUCUAUAUUAACCUAUCGUCAUGCAAAUUUCGCAAACUAUUGUUAUGCCAAUGGGCGCUCAGAUAUAGAUGGUUUGCUUCCCUUCAUGUUAUAGUACAAUAUGUUUAAACAGUUGAACAACGUUGUGUUCUUGGCUUGAGUCCAGCACUGACAGUGCCUAUUUGCAAUAUUCCAUAUGGGAUUACCAUUCACAGGUAUUUGCGUGAACAUCCCAAUGAGGCGGAUGGAGUUGACUUGGGCCAAUUUUCUUUUAAAAUCCCACUGUUGGUGAAGGAGAAGUCCUUGGAAGAACAUACCACCCGUGUUUUACAAGACGGUCGCAAACGCCGCAGGAUGCCUUGAAAUGGAGGAAGAAAGGAGUGAUCUGUAUCCAAUCUGGAUAUGAAUAUUGAAAUGGGCUACAUAGAGUUGGUACUUUAGUCGUGUGACAUUUGAGUGAUUGUUGAAGACUUGGCAACUGCUUUUGAUGUAAUGACAUGUAAACUGUUAGUCUCCUUGUGAAUUCAAGAGUAGAGCCAUUUUCAUUUUAUCCAAUCGACUUUCUAGUUAGUAAUUACUAUAAUUUUGUAUAAUAGAAUAUACAGAUAUAAAACCAUUUCUUUACAUAAAAUGCUAUGGGCGUCAUGUGUUUUGUGAGAGGAGUUGUUGGGGCUUGUUUCAUAUUUACCAUGACAUUUCAGCCCAAUUUUAAGAGACUUUAUUGGUGGGUUUGGUUUAACAAAUGAUGAGUAUCAGUAUUGGUUUGCUCCCUUGUGUAUUAGACCAUAUAUAUGGUGCAUUUUGCAUAGGUCAAAAGUCAAGUUUAGCUUUUUUCUCAAAAGGCUGGCUGGCAUGAAGCUUGAUCUUAGUGAAAGUAUGAUCAAGCAGCUUACCCUUCUCGGAAUUGGCCACCAUAAUUGGUUCUACCCAAUUGGAAAACUGUUUGGGAACCCAAGGCAGCUUGUUCAAGAGAAGGGGUUUCCAGAACUCCUCGUGAUUGGUGCUUUUUAGAUCAUUACCUCCUGGAAGUCAGAGUGCGGAUACAUUUCUAGCACUGAAAGACGUGGGACGACAUCAUAUUGCAGGUAUACUACUAAUGCUGGAAAUUGUUAUUGGUUUUUUUUUCUUGCAGUACUAUUAAUACUUGUAGUUUAGCCGUAGUAAGUUAUCUUGUUCUAAAGGAUCAGCACAAGGGAAAAUUUCUGGUCUAACAAACAUAUCAUCACAUCCUAGUUGCAUCAUUAACGCAGCAUCUGUUGGAGUCACAAUGCCUCCAGUAGCAGCAUGCACAACAGGAAACCUUCCCCAUUUGCCUAGUCUGGGCUUACUAUGCAUUAGAAUCUCCAAUUUCCUUGAAAAGUGUGAAAAACUUUAUCUUCAUCCAUAUCGAUAAAAAUUAAAACCUAUGUUACUUGAACUCAUCUCCGUCCUAUUUUUGGACAUGGGCAUCGGGAAUGGUAACGAUGCACUAAUAAACAAGUAGGGUAAAAAUUAUUCAUUAAAAUCAUAUAACCAAAAAACUCACAUCUAACAUGUAUUAUGAGAGACUUUGCGAUUUAGGUGUUUUAAGGUUUUCUCAUCCCAUCUUCUCAUCCUUCUCUUUUGCAUCCUAAUUAGCACUUAGCAGCAAUGUCGAUGCUGUUGUUUUAUGCAGUUAUGGAUUAAAGUGUGAUAAUUUUUGUAAAUACAAGCCUGAUUAUUUCCCUAUUAUAUGUGAAGUUAUUAUAACAAAUGCUUUCAAAUUAAAAACCAUAUAGUUUUCUGGUUAAAAAAUGAUUUACAUUUAUAAAUAUAUCAUCUGAGCCUAGAGAACAGAGGGAAGUUAUUUUUAUUAUAGGUUAAAGUGACUAGUGUUCACCAAAUCUGGUAGAUGAAGAAUGAAAAUAUAGACUUUGCAGACUUGUAAUCUAGUACAAUUGAUGGAAUUGUGAUACUUUCGAUGAAUUUACACUUGUUAAUCAGGAUUAGUCUGUCAUGUGUAUGUCAGUAUGUGGCUGUUUAGGUUUGCUUAUUUGGAAAAGACAAGCACAAUUCUCCCGCAUAAAAAGUACCUAGUUGUGUUGUGUACAUGUGCCUGUUAGGUUUAGCUUAAUUUGAUAAAAUUUGCACUUGUCUUUUAUCAAAUUAAUAUAUUUUUGACUAUUUUUUUUUACUCCAAAUUCAUUUGUUUUGAUAAAUAAAUUUUAUAAUGGAGUAUCAAUCAUCAGGUGUAGAAUAUCUUAUUGGUAUCAUAGUAUGUAAGCAAUUAAAAAGUGCUUCUACUUAUUUACACAAACGGUUCAAGAAAAGCAGAAGCCAGAAGCAACUCCGACUUCUGCUAACCAAACAGGCACAUAGUAAAGUUCUGUUAAGACCACUUUUUAUCGGAGACCUCGGAGAACAUGCAUGUUUUGCAAAUAAAACAUUGCAAAACUUAUAAUUUUGCAAAUCAUAUUCAAUGAAAAUCAUUUUUUAAUUAAAAAUCUUGAAAAAUCAUACUCCUUCAGUUCCACCCAAAUGAUUAUAUUUGGGUGGGGCAUAGAGAUUAAGAAAAUAUGUAAAGUAAGAGUAUGAAAGAAAGAAAAGUGAGGAUAGUGAUGAAACCAUUUGAUAUUUAAUACAUAAAGUAAGGAUAGUGGUGAAAAGUAGUGGGGGUAGUUGAUUUUUAUAUUAUAAAAUUUUACUAUACUUAAUAAAUUUUGAAAUAUAGAAUGGAUGGGACAUCCCAAAAAGGAAAGUGUAAAUAAAUGGUUGAGACGGAGGGAGUAUAUGUAUUGCGAGGAAGACAUUGCAAGACUGGACAUUGCAAAACAUAGGUUGUGCAAAAGAAUGUCUGGCUUGCAAAACGUACAUUAUUUUUUGGAUUUUCAAUGAAAUAGCACUAUUCAAAUAACAUACUUUAUAAAAUAUAAUGUUGUUAAUGUUUUGGUGCAGAACAUGCAUCGUUUCCGAGGAUUCUGAUAAAAAGUGAUUUUGGAGGUCUCCGAUAAAAAGUGGUCUUCAUAGAACUUUACUCUCUAUAUCACAAACCUCCUUAAAAUACAAUAUAAAAACUAAAAAAAAUCUUAAAAUUAUAUUUAAAUAUAGCAAAAAUUGUAUUUAAAUCGUUAGGAGAUGUAGAAUAAUUAUAGUGAAGUCAGAUUGACAUGAAAAUUCAAAUUAAAAAUGGAGGGGAUUAUGUGGGAUCAUGUGUGGGAGGAUGAAUUUUAAUUGUGUGUGGUGACUUCUAGAAGGCUUGUAGUUUGUACAGUAAUUUGGUUAACUACACAACUAAAAACCUUCUUAAAAUAAAAACUAAAAUAAAAAAAAUUCUGAAUCACAUCGAAAUAGCACAUAUGAUAUGCAACUGAAAGUUGGGAGAUGAAUAAAAAUACCAUUAAGUCAGAUUUCUAAAAAACUCACCGUUGACGAGAA
rnacentral:lncRNA from 1 species